rnacentral:rRNA from 1 species
ACUAACAAGGUCUCCGUUGGUGAACCAGCGGAGGGAUCAUU